UUUCCGCUAUUUGGUCGUUUGACCAAUCACAUCAGUUAUUUUUCAAAGCUGAUCUAAUUGGUAUGGAGCCCCUUAGGCGUCAUUGUGGAGAGGAAAAAACUGCCAUACUAACCCGUUCCUUGGUUGUUGUUUUUUUAUCCAUUCCCCUUGAUUAAAAAAAAAUCCAUUGCAAUUAUAUAUAUUUUUUUAUCAGUUCCCUCAUAUUUUGUAUUAAUUCACUCAGGUUUUUAAUCCACUCAAUUUUAAUAAUCCUCGGAAUAUGCGUGUUUUUCCAUUCAUUUGUGUCUGCACCCCUUUGCCAGAAAUUAUGCUGCUGAUGGAACCAUAGUCUGAGAUCAAUUAGAACAGAUUGACUGCAGUGCUGUCGAGGGCAUGACGGAUGCCCAACUCACACAAUACGUGCCCAGGUUUGGUGAUCUUAAGUCAGUACUGCAAAAGAGAAGUGGCCGCUCUCCAGGGAUCAAGUGUAUCCAAAGCUGCAGAGAGGGAUAUGGAACAUUUUAAACACUGAAAGAAAAGUAAUGAGAAGUCAGCAAAACUUUGGAAACGCCAAUAAUUAGAAAACAGAAUGUACUUUCCAAAUUGUAUGACUGGAACAAGUUGGUGUCAACUCAUUCUGCCAAGUCACAGAUAAAGAAAGGUGGUGAGACAAGACAAUUAAAGGCAGCAAAGAUGGGUACAGUGGCAGAGCUGUUGGUGGUCAGUAAGGCACUUUUCUUUCCAAAUAGAAAAAGCAAACUAGGGCAUGUUAAUGGUUUUGAAUUCACCAUGCAAGACUUUACUGAGGAAGACCCAUCUACUACAUUGGUCGAACAAUACGAACUCAGAAGAGUUUUAAACAUUUUUAGACUAUAUCUUUCCAGCAAAAAAAUAAACUAUGCGGCAGAUGAAAGUCUCAAGGCAGCUGCCUCUAUCUCUACAGAGAAGAAUAACAUAAUCAAGUACAACAGAAUCGCCAAUGUUUUCUCAUCUGACGACGAAAGCCUGGAAUUGGAGGAAAUCAGCACAGGGGACAUUACCAUCCGCCGCAAAGAAAGCCUGGAAUCAGAGGAAAUUGACACAGGACAUUCCCAUCGGUCUUCAAGCUUACCACUCCCUCCAUUCACCUGGCCAGGAAGAACAAAAACAUUUGCAUGAGUGCUUUGCUUGAUGAUGCUCUUCCAAUUGACGCUAUGUUAUUUUCAACGCCGAGGCCCACCCCCACCCCGCAAAGGAUACCCAGAAUCAAAAUGUGUAGAGGAAAUGUGUUCCAAGACCUGAAUGCUGCCAUUCAAGAUGUAGGUGUUUCUGAAGAAGACACCAUUUUAGAGAGAGAAAUUAUUCUACCCAGUGGCACCACAGAGAAAGGUGAGGCCCAUGGUGGAGUGCUGAGGGACGCCUUAAGUGAAUACUGGGAAACAUUCAUGAGGAAGUGCACAAGUGGGACCAUGAAAAUUCCCAUGACAUGAAGGACUCGUGGGAAACUGUUGCAAAAGUGAUGAUCCUUGGAUUACAACAUGGUAGGCUACUUCCCUUUAGCGUUGGCCAAGCCAUUUCUGCAACACUGUCUUGGAGAACAGAUCAAAUCUGAAAACUUCUUGGCAACAUUUUUGGAGUCUAUACCAAGUGAGGAAACGGUCAUCGUCAAACAGUCAAUCCAAGAUUGCUCGUCAGUUGCUGGGAGCACAUGAUGUCAAGAUUCUGAUCAAUGAGAUGAACUGGCAGAAGAUGCUACUUGAAGUCACCCACAAAGAAAUCAUAUCCUGCCUACAUUGCUGAGUCCUGGAACAGCGUACUGAAAAGGUUGAAACUGCAUCUUGGGGGUUUUGACUUGGUUCUCGGGAGCCUCACACCAACAUUCAAGAGUUGCUGCAGCUGUUAAACAUGAUACCUUCUCAAGAGGGAACAAACGGUCAUGGACUUUUUAAAUAAGUACAUCCAUAACUGCUCAACCAACUGCCUAAGACAUUUCUCAGAUUUUGCACAGGUGCAGAUGUACUUGUGUCUUCAGCCAUUCACGUCUACUUUGUUGAGCCCAAGAGUGACUUUGUGAGAAGCCCCAAUCACACACCCGCAGAUGUGUUUUGGAGAUCCCCCAACACCUACACAUCAUACCUUGAGAUGCCAGAGGAAUUCACCCAGGUCCUGGAUUCCAAAGUGUGGGUGAUGGACAUCAUUUAAAUGUAAGUGAGACCUUUUCUCACACACACACAAUGAACUUUCUCAAAUCAAUCAUGUAGCAUUAGUAGAUUAAUUGUCAAAAGUUACCAG